rnacentral:rRNA from 1 species
GAUGAACGCUGGCGGCGUGCCUAAUACAUGCAAGUCGAGCGAAGCGGGGACGGGUGAGUAACACGUGGAUAACCUCCUAUAAGACUGGGAUAACUUCGGGAAACCGGAGCUAAACCGGAUACUUAUAGAUGGAUCAGCGCUGCAUUAGCUAGGUGUUAAGGUAACGGCUUACCAAGGCAACGAUGCAUAGCCGACCUGAGAGGUUGCUCGGCCACACUGGCACUGAGACACGUGCCACAGUCCUACGGGAGGGGGUCAGAGGGCAGCUUCCGCAAUGGGCGAAAGCCUGACGGAGCAACGCCGCGUGAGGUAUGAAGUUCUUCGGUUCGUUAAACUCUGUUGUUAUGGCAGCGUUCCCUAUUCAGAAAGCCACUGCUGACUACGUGCUAGCAGCCGCGGUAAUUC